rnacentral:siRNA from 1 species
CACAAGUGUAUUAGAACUUGUA